rnacentral:misc_RNA from 1 species
CACCAUCAAGCUUCGCUUGGAUUUGAAUUACUGCCGUGGCAGGAUUCCAAUAUCGUCGGCAAUUGACCAUCUGUGAUGACUCACUGGGAGUUGAUUCGCCUGAAACUUUUCAAC